rnacentral:rRNA from 1 species
UACGGAGGAUGCAAGCGUUAUCCGGAAUUAUUGGGCGUAAAGCGUCCGCAGGUGGCAAUUCAAGUCUGCUGUUAAAGGUUCUGGCUCAACCAGAAACAGGCAGUGGAAACUGAAUAGCUAGAGUGCGGUAGGGGCAGAGGGAAUUCCCAGUGUAGCGGUGAAAUGCGUAGAGAUUGGGAAGAACACCGGUGGCGAAAGCGCUCUGCUAGGCCGUAACUGACACUCAUGGACGAAAGCUAGGGGAGCGAAUGGG